GGUUGCGAUCAUACCAGCACUAAUGCACCGGAUCCCAUCAGAACUCCGCAGUUAAGCGUGCUUGGGCGAGAGUAGUACAAGGAUGGGUGACCCCCUGGGAAGUCCUCGUGUUGCAACCC
rnacentral:rRNA from 1 species